UCGGGAAUGUCUCCUGGCCAGGCCUGGAGAUUGCAGGAGGCCGGGCGAGGAGCCCCGCGUCUCCCCCGUUUCCGGGCCGUUGUUUUCUUGGCUGGAUUUUGAGGAGGGUUAAGUGUCCCUCUUGGCCUGGCUGCUGAGUGGGGUGAGAGCGAUUGCGUGAACUUGCUUCCUGGCGUGCGGCUGUGAAUGCUUCUCGGCUCGCCUGGCUCCCGCGGUUUCCUUCCCAAGCCCUCCUUGCUGGCAGGAGGGAACAGACAGGCGGGGUGUGGAUCCCUCCGGAGCUCACUGGGGGCCGUUCGCCCCGCUCAUCACUCUGGCCACACUCCCUGCCCGCCCCUUACAUUCCGGGCUUGCCUAGACAGGCAGAUGGAGUGGGCUUUCGGGAAAGAGAGAGAGAGAAAAAGGAAUCUUUUCUAUGUGGCUGGUUUUGAACCCUUGAAAUCCCAGUGAAAAUAAUCACACUAAAUACUAUUUGUAGCAGCCCAGAGACAUGGAACACGGGCUGAAUCCUUUGCGUUUCUUUGUAAUUGGAAAAGGAUGUUUUUACAUCUUGACAUUUUUUGACUCUCAGCCACAUCUAGAUAGAAUUAGUGAGACCCCAAGAAGACAUUCCAUCAACGCUGGGUAACUGCAAGAACUUUAAACAGAUCUGUCGUGAUGUCUCUGAGAAUGGCGGCCUGCAGUGACCUGGAAUCCCACAGUGGCUCUGCCAGGUAUUCCAGGAACAGGUCCCAGGGACACGCGUCUAAUUUAUUAUUUAUGGAGCAAAUUAUCGUUCUCCACAGCAAGCAGAGACCUUGACAAAUGGGCCACCACUGUGGCUUCCUGAUUUUCUUUUCUUUUGGGGGUGUUGAGGGUUGCAACAGACGAUGCCCUAAAGACCUCCAGGGCUGUGCCUGUGCUGGACAUCUGGCCAGCCCUCAGGGUCCUGGACUUGUCCUCAUCUCUACU
rnacentral:lncRNA from 1 species